CAAAGAUCUGGUACCCAACAUCCAGGCCAUCUUUACAUCCAGGGGUCAGGCCACCUGCUAUCAUCCCAAUGGUCUUAUAUGGGUGAACCUGACCCAGCUGGGAGGCUCCUGCUGCAGUGACACCGGGGCUAUGAGGAGGCGCUGGAGUUGGCUGGACCACGAGCCCCAUGUCCAUGCCCCUCCCUUCCAGCCCAUCUGUCUGACCCUCAGCCCCAACAUCAGCCUCCGCAUCCAGACACAGGACUGCAUCUACCUCACCUUCACCUCUCGCAAGAGCAGUGUGAGGUUCAACGUGGGGGCCAAACUCAAGCUGGAGCACUUGAAGAGCCUGAUGUUGCCUGGGCCAGACCUGGACCAGAGACACCUCCACAUGAAGAGUGCAGAGAUCUACAACCUUCUGCAGAGGAUCCAGGGCUAUAUCACCUACCAGCAGUCCCCAAGUCCACAGAAGGUUACGCCCCAAUAUAGCCUGGUCUCUCAAAUGGAGAGACUGAAGACACCUCUGGACAAGCACCACUCAGUCAAGAAGAGAGUUCAGAUAGCUACCAAAGCCAAAUAA
ensembl:lncRNA